CAGUAGCCGCGGUAAUACGGAGGGUGCAAGCGUUAAUCGGAAUAACUGGGCGUAAAGCGCACGCAGGCGGUCUGACAAGUCAGAUGUGAAAUCCCCGGGCUUAACCUGGGAACUGCAUUUGAAACUGUCAGGCUGGAGUCUUGUAGAGGGGGGUGGAAUUCCAGGUGUAGCGGUGAAAUGCGUAGAGAUCUGGAGGAAUACCGGUGGCGAAGGCGGCCCCCUGGACAAAGACUGACGCUCAGGUGCGAAAGCGUGGGGAGCAAACAGGAUUAGAUACCCCUGUAGUCCCUGUCUCUUAUAC
rnacentral:rRNA from 1 species